UAUGUACAAGGGAAAACAUGCAAGGGUGGUUUCCCCCUCCCUCUGGCAGGUUAUCUUUCACAUGCUAGAUUUUGGAACUAGUGCUCUACCGGUCACAUGAAGGAAAAACUGUAGAGAAGCAGGCAAGUUUGUACAAUUGCCCUUCCAUGAUCACAUGAGCCAACAGGAUUCUGUCCCAGCUUUCCAUUCUAUCUCUAUGGUUGCAAUAGCUCAGGCUUUGAAACGUGUGUGGGCGGGUUUGCUCCAUACCUGUCCUGCUGUUACUAUGGUGAUGGCACUCUAUCCAUGACUGACCCACCUCAGAGGGAUGAGGAGGGAAGAUGGCAGUGGCGCGAGGCUCCAUCCAGCACCACCAGAAUGAACCAGGUCAGGAAGCCAUGGAUCCUUCAACCACUUCAGCCACUGCCUUGACCAAGCCACCCAGCUUCCAUUCUCCACUCCAGUCUGCCAGAGAGGUCAAACCCAUCAUUCCUUCAGCAUUCUUGGCUUCUGUAGCAAGCAUUCAAGCUCAAGCACAGAAACAUUUGUUCGCCGCUAUAACCUGCGAACGGGCCAAGCGCUGGUUUCAGGUGUUUGAAACCUAUUAUCACAUAGGUGUCGCUUUCCAGAAAGUAGAUUACCACCGUGAUGCUUCAGAGGAGUUUACAAAUGCAAUAGAAACUGGAAACCCUUCCAAAGUUGGCUGCAACAUGGCCUGUGCUUCCAUUCCUUUCUACCAGACACCUGCAUAUGCAAGGAGAGCUUAUGCGUAUGUGAAAUGUGACAAAAUUAAAGAAGCCAUAGGUGACGCUACGAGAGCUGUGUAUUUAGACCCUUCAAAUCCUGAUGUGUACUGUGUCAGAGCUCUUGUAUGGAGCUCAGCAAAAGAAAAAAGAAGAGCCCUUCUUGAUUUGAACCUGAGUUUCAGGAUAAAUCCAUCUCACGUGUGCACUUUAAUCUUAAGAGGGGCCAUUUUAAAAUCGCUUGGUGGAUUGUCUGGUUCAGAUCAAAAUAAAGAUCAUAAAAUGGCCUCUCAACUCUGCAGGGAGAGUAUUAAUUACUUUGACGUGGAAGAUUUUCAUAGUCCUAAAAUGCCCUCUUUCUAUGACAAAUUCCUGUGGUCUCUAAAUGCAUUCCACACAAUAACAGAAAUCAACCUGUUUGCUGGAGCAUCAUUCAUGCCCAAGUCAAAACAAUCAAGUAUGAUUCAGAAAGACACCAGGAAACCAUUUAGAUGUGGGUGUGUACCACCAUAUUCUAGCAACAGCAGCGAGAGCAGCAACAGCAGCUUGUUAUUAUGGAGGAAAAUAUCUGCAAGAUCAGGCGUGGGGUCAGCCACAGGAGUUAAUGUGAAGACUCAAGUUCAUCAGUAGCAUCUUCUGGAGGUGAAGGCUUAAAGACUUCUGAAGUAACCAUGGCCAGAAAGUAUGUGAAAAAAAGACAGCAGUCCUCAGCAAGCUCAAACUAGUGAUAAAAGGAUCAAGUGCAGAAAUAGACUGGAAUCAAAUUCAACAGCAGCCUGGUGGUCUUGUAUAACAUGAGGUGCAAUAUAAUGUCUGUGAUUGGCACAGUGCUAGGCAAUAAAAAGCAGCAAAAAAUAGAGAGUAUCCUGAUC
rnacentral:lncRNA from 1 species